rnacentral:rRNA from 1 species
UACGUAGGGUCCGAGCGUUGUCCGGAAUUAUUGGGCGUAAAGGGCUCGUAGGCGGUCUGUCGCGUCGGGAGUGAAAACUUACAGCUUAACUGUGAGCGUGCUUCCGAUACGGGCAGACUUGAGGUAUUCAGGGGAGAACGGAAUUCCUGGUGUAGCGGUGAAAUGCGUAGAUAUCUGGAAGAACACCGGUGGCGAAGGCGGUCAACUGGCCCUAAACUGACGCUCAGGCACGAAAGCGUGGGGAUCAAACAGG